rnacentral:tRNA from 1 species
UGCAUCAGCCGGGAAUCGAACCCGGGCCGCCCGGGUGGCAGGCGAGCAUUCUACCACUGAACCACCGAUGG